rnacentral:lncRNA from 1 species
UAUAGUCGGACUAAACAGCUAGGGUUCUAUUCAAACCGUUAGUUGUCCGAUAUCCCCAAACCCACGACAAGGAGAAUAAGGGCAAAUGGAUGCAGUAUUGCAGUGAUAAUAGAGGGAGUAAUACGACCCAGACAUCCAAUUUCAACAACAAAGUAAAUACUUUAUUGGAUUUUCGAGCAAUUCUUUCUCUUCCCGUGACCCUAAUCAUCCAAUAUGCAUUUUUUGAACCGUAUCAUACCCCAAAUCUUUGCUAAUUCACUGAAAACUACUUCAAAUCCAAAUAAUUUCCUUCGGAUUCAACGCCCCUUUUCGAAUCUNNN